rnacentral:siRNA from 1 species
UCCCGCCAAAAACGUAAACCCGUG